rnacentral:rRNA from 1 species
UACGAAGGGGGCUAGCGUUGCUCGGAAUUAUUGGGCGUAAAGCGCACGUAGGCGGCUUUCUAAGUCGGGGGUGAAAUCCUGGAGCUCAACUCCAGAACUGCCUUCGAUACUGGAGAGCUCGAGUCCGGGAGAGGUGAGUGGAACUGCGAGUGUAGAGGUGAAAUUCGUAGAUAUUCGCAAGAACACCAGUGGCGAAGGCGGCUCACUGGCCCGGUACUGACGCUGAGGUGCGAAAGCGUGGGGAGCAAACAGG